rnacentral:rRNA from 1 species
CUUCGGGUCGUAAAGCCUUGUCAGAUGGGAAGAAACCUAGACAAGUUAAUACCUUGUUUACUUGACGGUACCAUCAGAGGAAGCACCGGCUAACUCCGUGCCAGCAGCCGCGGUAAUACGGAGGGUGCAAGCGUUGUUCGGAAUUACUGGGCGUAAAGAGCGUGUAGGCGGCUGGGUCAGUCAGAUGUGAAAGCCCUCGGCUUAACCGAGGAAGUGCAUCUGAUACUGCUCAGCUUGAGUCUCGGAGAGGGGUGUGGAAUUCCCGGUGUAGAGGUGAAAUUCGUAGAUAUCGGGAGGAACAUCAGUGGCGAAGGCGACACCCUGGACGAUGACUGACGCUGAGACGCGAAAGCGUGGGGAGCAAACAGGAUUAGAUACCCUGGUAGUCCACGCCGUAAACGGUGUCAACUAGGUGUUGUGGGUAUUGACCCCCGCAGUGCCGAAGC